rnacentral:rRNA from 1 species
GACGAACGCUGGCGGCGUGCCUAAUACAUGCAAGUAGAACGCUGAAGAGAGGAGCUUGCUCUUCUUGGCUGAGUUGCGAACGGGUGAGUAACGCGUAGGUAACCUGCCUUGUAGCGGGGGAUAACUAUUGGAAACGAUAGCUAAUACCGCAUAACAAUGUAUGACACAUGUCAUUUAUUUGAAAGGGGCAAUUGCUCCACUACAAGAUGGACCUGCGUUGUAUUAGCUAGUAGGUGAGGUAAUGGCUCACCUAGGCGACGAUACAUAGCCGACCUGAGAGGGUGAUCGGCCAAACUGGGACGGAGACACGGCCCAGAAUACUACGGGAGGCAGCAGUAGGGAAUCAUCGGCAAUGGGGGCAACCCUGACCGAGCAACGCCGCGUGAGUGAAGAAGGUUGUCGGAUCGUAAAGCUCUGUUGUAAGUCAAGAACGGGAGUGAGAGUGGAAAGUUCACACUGUGACGGUAGCUUACCAGAAAGGGACGGCUAACUACGUG